rnacentral:rRNA from 1 species
UACGGAGGGUGCAAGCGUUAUCCGGAUUCACUGGGUUUAAAGGGUGCGUAGGAGGGUAGGUAAGUCAGUGGUGAAAUCUUCGGGCUUAACUCGGAAACUGCCGUUGAUACUAUCUAUCUUGAAUACCGUGGAGGUGAGCGGAAUAUGUCAUGUAGCGGUGAAAUGCUUAGAUAUGACAUAGAACACCAAUUGCGAAGGCAGCUCGCUACACGAAUAUUGACUCUGAGGUGCGAAAGCGUGGGGAGCAAACAGG